GAUGAACGCUGGCGGCGUGCCUAAUACAUGCAAGUCGAGCGAACAGAUGAGGAGCUUGCUCCUCUGACGUUAGCGGCGGACGGGUGAGUAACACGUGGAUAACCUACCUAUAAGACUGGGAUAACUUCGGGAAACCGGAGCUAAUACCGGAUAAUAUAUUGAACCGCAUGGUUCAAUAGUGAAAGACGGUUUUGCUGUCACUAAUAGAUGGAUCCGCGCCGCAUUAGCUAGUUGGUAAGGUAACGGCUUACCAAGGCGACGAUGCGUAGCCGACCUGAGAGGGUGAUCGGCCACACUGGAACUGAGACACGGUCCAGACUCCUACGGGAGGCAGCAGUGGGGAAUCUUGCGCAAUGGGCGAAAGCCUGACGGAGCAACGCCGCGUGAGUGAAGAAGGUCUUCGGAUUGUAAAGCUCUGUUAUUGGGGAAGAAAAGAAGUAUGUGUAUCUCUGGACGUCUUGACGGUACCUAAACAAAAAGCCACGGCUAACUUCGUG
rnacentral:rRNA from 1 species